GCCUGGAUAGCUCAAACGGCAGAGUAUUGGACUGACGAUCCGAAGGUCCAGGGUUCAACUCCCUGUUCGGGCG